rnacentral:rRNA from 1 species
ACAUGCAAGUCGUACGAGAAAUCCUGGGCAACUGGGAAAGUAAAGUGGCGUACGGGUGAGUAACACGUGGGUAACCUACCCUUGAAUUUGGGAUAACUCCGCGAAAGCGGGGCUAAUACCGAAUAAUAUUCUGACUCCCAAGGGGGUUGGAAUCAAAGGUGGCCUCUGCAUGCAAGCUAUCGUUUAAGGAUGGGCCCGCGUACCAUUAGCUAGUUGGUAGGGUAAUGGCCUACCAAGGUUAUGAUGGGUAGCCGGCCUGAGAGGGUGUUCGGCCACACUGGGACUGAGACACGGCCCAGACUCCUACGGGAGGCAGCAGUGAGGAAUCUUGCGCAAUGGGCGAAAGCCUGACGCAGCGACGCCGCGUGGAGGAAGACGGCCUUCGGGUUGUAAACUCCUGUCAGAGGUGAAGAAUCCCCGCAAGGGGUUGACG